rnacentral:siRNA from 1 species
UCAGUUUGAUGGAUCAUCUGG